CUUUAUUAUUGGCUUAUUGCGAACGGAAGGAAACAUGGGUCCAGAUCAGCUGCGCGGAGUGGCCCUCGCUCGCAGCAAGUACAUCUCCUUCCUGGAGGAGAAGUAAUCGACGAGCUCGUCGCGGCUCCUCAAGCACUGCUUCACGCCUUCACGGUGGCGUCGUUGAUGUAGGCGUCGGCCCACUCGCGGAGCGCUGGGAACUCCUCGCCGCCGACGAGGACCACCCCGGCGGCCUCCUCGAUGACCCCGACCCAGUGCGCCAGCGCACAGGCGGCGAUGUCGACGAAGCCGAUGGCCUCGCCGCCGAAGAACCUCUGCCCCCUGAGCUGCGCCUCGAGCAGAGCCAGGUUCUCCUUGGCCUCCUUCGCCAUAGCCUCCCUGCGCUCCUCGUCGUCCGUCCAGAACGACAUCCAGAACGGCCGCGCGAACUGCAGGACCGAUCGCAUCAUGGAGCAGGUGUUCAAACGUUGACCACAUCAUCUUCAGAAUCGAUCCUGGUGGCUGGUGGUACCUUUUGGUCGAUGAAGUGGGCCCAGAACCGCGCGUCCGCCCUCGCGUGGGGUUCCGCGGGGAGGAGAGGCGGCCCGUCGAAGGCCUCGUCGACGUACUCGAGGAUGACGAGCGACUCGGAGAUGGCCCUGUCGCCGUGGAGGAGCACGGGCACGAGUUUGUGCACGGGGUUGUGUGCCAGCAGCAGCUCGCUCUUGUUGGCCAGGUCCUCCAGGAUGAGCUCGUAGGGCACCCCUUUGAGGCGCAGGGCCACCUCGGCGCGGUGGACGAACGGGCUGGCGAAGGAGCCCACCAGCCUCACCGCCGCCGGCUCGGUGGUCGCCAUCUUCUCUGGUCUUUCUACCUCCGGCUCCCCUUCUUCUGGGUCUGGCUCGGUGAAGGAAAACUCUAUUUGUUUGGAGCACUCGUGAUGUACUACGAGCUUUGCCACUC
rnacentral:misc_RNA from 1 species